GGUGUUUUAACCAAGGCUAUGUAGCUGGGCUGGAUCUGCAGGAAGCCCUGGGGUCAGUGGAACUGGGCCCAUAGGAGCUGAGCUAGAGGUAAGACCAAGCAAGCCCUCACUGGAGAGGCAACUGCAGCAGGUGUGGCAGAACUGGCUGCCAAGUGGUAAGAAGAUAAAAGGCUGGACCCAACAUAAGGACACAUCUGAUCUGACAUGGGGGCACUUGUAUGGGGAAGUCUGCCAUGAAGUGGGAAGGAAAGCAGAGGCUCUACCAAGGUCCUGACUUCAGCUGAGAGGGGAAUGAAGAGGUUUUAUACCUAUCCUUGAGCAGUCACUGAAGGCUGGCUGUAAAACAUUUUGCCAGGUGUGUUCCUGGAAAGGCUGAUGGAUGAUGAAAAGUACUUUGGAUGAUGCAGAGACAAAGGGGAGGCUGCAAUUUUGCAGGCUUUGCAAACUGCUUGUUCUGCAG